rnacentral:rRNA from 1 species
CGGCGGACGGGUGAGUAAUGCCUAGGAAUCUGCCUGGUAGUGGGGGACGAACGUUUCGAAAGGAACGCUAAUACCGCAUACGUCCUACGGGAGAAAGCAGGGACCUUCGGGCCUUGCGCUAUCAGAUGAGCCUAGGUCGGAUUAGCUAGUUGGUGAGGUAAUGGCUCACCAAGGCGACGAUCCGUAACUGGUCUGAGAGGAUGAUCAGUCACACUGGAACUGAGACACGGUCCAGACUCCUACGGGAGGCAGCAGCA